UCCCAUGCUGUUCAACCCUUUGUCUUUUGCGUACUGUAUGUUUCCUCGGCGGGUUCGCCCGCCGAUAGGACACUUCAAAACCUUUUGUAAUUGCAAUCAGCGUCAGAAAAACUAUAAUAGUUACAACUUUCAACAACGGAUCUCUUGGUUCUGGCAUCGAUGAAGAACGCAGCGAAAUGCGAAAAGUAGUGUGAAUUGCAGAAUUCAGUGAAUCAUCGAAUCUUUGAACGCACAUUGCGCCCCUUGGUAUUCCAUGGGGCAUGCCUGUUCGAGCGUCAUUUGUACCCUCAAGCUCUGCUUGGUGUUGGGUGUUUGUCCCGCCUUCGCGUGUGGACUCGCCUUAAAGUCAUUGGCAGCCGGAAUAAUUCUGGGGAACGCAGCACAACUGCAGCCUCCAUUUUACGCCGAGCGUCCAGUAAGCGUUUUUUUCACGUUUGACCUCGGAUCAGGUAGGGAUACCCGCUGAACUUAAGCAUAUCAAUAGCGGAGGAAAAUCAUUAU
rnacentral:rRNA from 1 species